rnacentral:rRNA from 1 species
AAUGAACGCUGGCGGCGUGCUUAACACAUGCAAGUCGAACGAGAAAGCCUUGGCUUGCCAGGGCGAGUAAAGUGGCGCACGGGUGAGUAACGCGUGGGUAAUCUACCCCUGAAUUCGGGAUAACCCUUCGAAAGGGGGGCUAAUACCGGAUAACAUCCGAUUGACCUUGGUUGAUUGGAUCAAAGAAGGCCUCUACAUGUAAGCUUUUGUUUGGGGAUGAGCCCGCGUACCAUUAGCUAGUUGGCAGGGUAACGGCCUACCAAGGCUACGAUGGUUAGCUGGUCUGAGAGGAUGAUCAGCCACACUGGAACUGACACACGGUCCAGACUCCUACGGGAGGCAG